GAUGAACGCUAGCUACAGGCUUAACACAUGCAAGUCGAGGGGCAGCAUGAACUUAGCUUGCUAAGUUUGAUGGCGACCGGCGCACGGGUGAGUAACACGUAUCCAACCUUCCGUUUACUCAGGGAUAGCCUUUCGAAAGAAAGAUUAAUACCUGAUAGUAUGGUGAGAUUGCAUGAUAGCACCAUUAAAGAUUUAUUGGUAAACGAUGGGGAUGCGUUCCAUUAGGUAGUAGGCGGGGUAACGGCCCACCUAGCCGACGAUGGAUAGGGGUUCUGAGAGGAAGGUCCCCCACAUUGGAACUGAGACACGGUCCAAACUCCUACGGGAGGCAGCAGUGAGGAAUAUUGGUCAAUGGGCGAGAGCCUGAACCAGCCAAGUAGCGUGAAGGAUGAAGGUCCUACGGAUUGUAAAACUUCUUUUAUACGGGAAUAAAGUAUCCUACGUGUAGGAUUUUGUAUGUACCGUAUGAAUAAGCAUCGGCUAACUCCGUG
rnacentral:rRNA from 1 species